AACGAACGCUGGCGGCAGGCUUAACACAUGCAAGUCGAGCGCCCCGCAAGGGGAGCGGCAGACGGGUGAGUGACGCGUGGGAAUCUACCCAUCUCUGCGGAAUAACGCAUGGAAACGUGUGCUAAUACCGUAUACGUCCUUCGGGAGAAAGAUUUAUCGGAGAUGGAUGAGCCCGCGUUGGAUUAGCUAGUUGGUGGGGUAAAGGCCUACCAAGGCGACGAUCCAUAGCUGGUCUGAGAGGAUGAUCAGCCACACUGGGACGGAGACACGGCCCAGACUCCUACGGGAGGCAGCAGGGGGGAAUAUUGGACAAUGGGCGCAAGCCUGAUCCAGCCAUGCCGCGUGAGUGAUGAAGGCCCUAGGGUUGUAAAGCUCUUUCACCGGUGAAGAUAAUGACGGUAACCGGAGAAGAAGCCCCGGCUAACUUCGUGCCAGCCGCCGCCGUAAAAC
rnacentral:rRNA from 1 species